rnacentral:lncRNA from 1 species
CUUUGGCCAGCACCAAAGUGUGAACACACAGUGCCCGAGUUGAACACAUCCUCUGCUCCCUCACUCGCGUACCUGGGCUUCAGAUCCUCCCUCAGCUCAGGCACAGGCACUGGGGGGCAGCUUGCAGGAGGUGGCAAGCCCUGGGGAGCUGGCAGAUGCCACCAGAAGCCUCGGGGACACUGGAGUGACCAAGUUUGCAAGCAGGUGCCGGCACAGCUGGGGAGGAGGAGGUGCGGGGCAGAAAUUUGGGCUCGCAGGGUACAGAAUAUGAAAGGGGGGUGCAAAAAGGAAAACGAGAGGGCUACUGGGAGGCUUUGGGCAGGUCGUCCCCAGCUCUAGGUUGGCAAAAUGAAUUCCCACACACAUCUAUACCUCCGUACAGCACCUACCUCCCCGUCAGCUCUGCUUCAGCCUCCUUCUUCUCCUCCUCCUCCUCCUCCUCGUGGUACAGGAGCUGUGUGGAGGCAGCGGGCAGCCAGAGCAGCUUUCAGCAGGGCCAGCAGCUGCUGGCCACGGGGGCCGUGCGGGCAGCAGGAGCGGAGCCUGGCACAGAGACAGCAUUUUGGGCCUUCCCCCUUCCCGAGGGCUCAGCUACACACAGAGCCCAGUUUUCUGGACCGUGCCUUUCCAUACAUGAAGGCUGCGGUCUCCCCGAUGGCUGCGGCUGCCAGCUGGCUUCUCCUGAGGUGGGGUCCUGGCAUUGAACUGUGGAUUUUACAGCAAGCCGUGAAAUCAGAUGAAAAGCUCUGUGCUGGAGCAGUGCGGGAGCAGGGAGCAUCUUCCCCCUGGGGUCCUCUGGGGUCUGCUGGAGGUGUCCCCAUGGAGAGGCCCCCACCAGAGUCUGCUCCAAUGGCCAGGACACCCUCCAGCAGGGGAAAGGCACAUUUAAGUCUUGGUCCCACCCAAGGGGCAUCUGGGCAGCCCAGGAAGAGCAGCAGGAGGAGGAAUGCAGACAACGCGUGCUGGUGGCACCCAGACAGUGAGUUAUCCAGACCCCAGUCACUGACAGGAAUCCUAACAAACCCGGACACAGAUGUCCCUAACAC